GACGAACGCUGGCGGCGUGCCUAAUACAUGCAAGUUGAGCGCUGAAGGUUGGUACUUGUACCAACUGGAUGAGCAGCGAACGGGUGAGUAACGCGUGGGGAAUCUGCCUUUGAGCGGGGGACAACAUCUGGAAACGAAUGCUAAUACCGCAUAAAAACUUUAAACACAAGUUUUAAGUUUGAAAGAUGCAAUUGCAUCACUCAAAGAUGAUCUCGCCUUGUAUCAGCUAGUUGGUGAGGUAAAGGCCCAACAAGGCGAAGAUACAUAGCCGACCGGAGAGGGUGGUCGGCCACAAUGGGACGGAAGCAAGGCCCAAACUCCUACGGGAGGCAGCAAGAGGGAAUCUUCGGCAAAGGGCGAAAGUCUGGCCGGACAACGCCGCGUGGAGGAAGGAGGGUUUCGGGUCGGAAAACUCUGUUGGUAGGGAAGGACGUUAGUGGGAGUGGAAAGCUCAUCAAGUGACGGUAACUACCCAGAAAGCGACGGCUAACUACGUG
rnacentral:rRNA from 1 species